rnacentral:rRNA from 1 species
CCUACGGGUGGCAGCAGUGGGGAAUAUUGGACAAUGGGCGAAAGCCUGAUCCAGCCAUGCCGCGUGUGUGAAGAAGGCCUUCGGGUUGUAAAGCACUUUCAGUGGGGAAGAAAGCCUUGGGGCUAAUACCCUCGAGGAAGGACAUCACCCACAGAAGAAGCACCGGCUAACUCCGUGCCAGCAGCCGCGGUAAUACGGAGGGUGCGAGCGGUAAUCGGAAUUACUGGGCGUAAAGCGCGCGUAGGCGGUCUGAUAAGCCGGUUGUGAAAGCCCCGGGCUCAACCUGGGAACGGCAUCCGGAACUGUCAGGCUAGAGUGCAGGAGAGGAAGGUAGAAUUCCCGGUGUAGCGGUGAAAUGCGUAGAGAUCGGGAGGAAUACCAGUGGCGAAGGCGGCCUUCUGGACUGACACUGACGCUGAGGUGCGAAAGCGUGGGUAGCAAACAGGAUUAGAUACCCUGUAGUC